GUGGGUGUAGCUCAGCUGGUAGAGCACCGGGUUGUGGUCCCGGGUGUCGCGGGUUCAAGUCCCGUCACUCACCCCA
rnacentral:tRNA from 3 species